rnacentral:rRNA from 1 species
AUACGUAGGGGGCGAGCGUUGUCCGGAAUGAUUGGGCGUAAAGGGCGCGUAGGCGGCCCGGUAAGUCUGGAGUGAAAGUCCUGUUUUUAAGAUGGGAAUUGCUUUGGAUACUGUCGGGCUUGAGUGCAGGAGAGGUAAGUGGAAUUCCCAGUGUAGCGGUGAAAUGCGUAGAGAUUGGGAGGAACACCAGUGGCGAAGGCGACUUGCUGGACUGUAACUGACGCUGAGGCGCGAAAGUGUGGGGAGCAAACAGGAUUAGAUACCCUGGUAGUCCGCACAGUAAACGAUGGACACCCGCGGUUUGGCCUGUAUGGCUGAGCCGCCAAGCGAAAGCGUUAAGUGUCCCACCUGGGGAGUACGCCGGCAACGGUGAAACUCAAAUGAAUUGGCGGGG